rnacentral:rRNA from 1 species
UACCAGCACCCCGAGUGGGCGGGACGUUUAUUGGGCCUAAAGCGUCCGUAGCCGGUUCUACAAGUCUUCCGUUAAAUCCACCUGCUUAACAGAUGGGCUGCGGAAGAUACUAUAGAGCUAGGAGGCGGGAGAGGCAAGCGGUACUCGAUGGGUAGGGGUAAAAUCCGUUGAUCCAAUGAAGACCACCAGUGGCGAAGGCGGCUUGCCAGAACGCGCUCGACGGUGAGGGAUGAAAGCUGGGGGAGCAAACCGG